rnacentral:rRNA from 1 species
GAACAAGUACCGUGAGGGAAAGAUGCAAAGAACUUUGAAAAGAGAGUCAAAAGGGCUUGAAAUUGUUAACAGGGAAGCGAUUGUGUCCAGUAUUCACUUGCAUGGCACUCAGGCCGUGGCACUGCUGGGCGCGCGCGGUGCGCGAGGUGUCCUCAUGGGCGCCCGCGUGACGUGCGUGUGAGCCCCAGCGUGGCUGGCUGCACUUGACAUGCUGGGUGAGUCAAUGUCAGUUCGUUGGGCGCGCGGGAGAAGGCCAGUGGGAAGGUAGCUCGCCGCUGGUGAGUGUUUAUAGACCGCUGGAGUGCAUACCGCAGCUCGGACUGAGGGAACUCCAAUCCGCACACGCGCAAGCUGGGCGAACCCGUACUGCGCGCUGCGGUCCGCUGCUGGACAAGGGAAUCCCUUGUGCCGUGGCGGCGCCGUGGUGUGUCGAGGCGCGGGCGCACCCAUGUGUGCACAUGGACAUUGACAAAAUGGGCCCAACCGACCCGUCUUGUAACACGGACCAAGGAGUCUAACGUAUGUGCAAGCAUUGUGGUGGCAAACCAAUCACCCGGGUCACGGGUGGACAAUGCGCAAUGAAAGUAAAAGGGUGGGAACCGGGGUAGCACCCGGGGCACCAUCGACCGAUCUGGAUAUUUCUUUUUGAAAGAUUUGAGUAGAAGUACGUCCGUUAGGACCCGAAAGAUGGUGAACUAUGCCUGCAUAGGGUGAAGCCAGAGGAAACUCUG